CACGUAGGGUGCGAGCGUUGUCCGGAAUUAUUGGGCGUAAAGAGCUCGUAGGCGGUGUGUCGCGUCGGCCGUGAAAACCUGCAGCUUAACUGUGGGCUUGCGGUCGAUACGGGCAUCACUGGAGUUCGGCAGGGGAGACUGGAAUUCCUGGUGUAGCGGUGAAAUGCGCAGAUAUCAGGAGGAACACCAGCGGCGAAGGCGGCGCUCUGGGCCGGUACUGACGCUGAGGAGCGAAAGCGUGGGUAGCAAACAGG
rnacentral:rRNA from 1 species